rnacentral:rRNA from 1 species
GGGGGGAGCAAGCGUUGUUCGGAUUCAUUGGGCGUAAAGGGCUCGUAGGUGGCUUUGUAAGUCGGAGGUGAAAUCCCAUGGCUCAACCAUGGACACGCCUUCGAAACUGUGAAGCUUGAGGCUGGGAGAGGAGAUCGGAAUUCCUGGUGUAGCGGUGAAAUGCGUAGAUAUCAGGAGGAACACCGGUGGCGAAGGCGGAUCUCUGGACCAGUUCUGACACUGAUGAGCGAAAGCCAGGGGAGCAAACAGGAUUAGAUACCCUGGUAGUCCUGGCUGUAAACGAUGGGCACUAGGUGUGGGAGGAUCGACCCCCUUCCGUGCCGCAGUUAACGCAUUAAGUGCCCCGCCUGGGGAGUACGACCGCAAGGUUG